CAGUCGCCGCGGGAAAACGUAGGGCGCAAGCGUUAUCCGGAAUUAUUGGGCGUAAAGAGCUCGUAGGCGGUUUGUCGCGUCUGCCGUGAAAGUCCGGGGCUCAACCCCGGAUCUGCGGUGGGUACGGGCAGACUAGAGUGAUGUAGGGGAGACUGGAAUUCCUGGUGUAGCGGUGAAAUGCGCAGAUAUCAGGAGGAACACCGAUGGCGAAGGCAGGUCUCUGGGCAUUAACUGACGCUGAGGAGCGAAAGCAUGGGGAGCGAACAGGAUUAGAUACCCGUGUAGUCCCUGUCUCUUAUAC
rnacentral:rRNA from 1 species